GUGCCAGCCGCCGCGGUAAUACAGAGGGGGCAAGCGUUAUUCGGAAUUAUUGGGCGUAAAGGGCGCGUAGGCGGCUUGGCAAGUGGAAGGUGAAAUCCCUCGGCUUAACCGAGGAACUGCCUUCCAGACUGCUUUGCUUGAGGCCGGGAGAGGUAAGUGGAAUUCCCAGUGUAGCGGUGAAAUGCGUAGAUAUUGGGAGGAACACCAGUGGCGAAGGCGGCUUACUGGACCGGUUCUGACGCUGAGGCGCGAAAGCGUGGGGAGCAAACGGGAUUAGAUACCCCAGUAGUCC
rnacentral:rRNA from 1 species